AUUGAACGCUGGCGGCAUGCUUUACACAUGCAAGUCGGACGGCAGCGCGGGCUUCGGCCUGGCGGCGAGUGGCGAACGGGUGAGUAAUACAUCGGAACGUGCCCAGUAGUGGGGGAUAGCUCGGCGAAAGCCGGAUUAAUACCGCAUACGACCUGAGGGUGAAAGCGGGGGAUCUUCGGACCUCGCGCUAUUGGAGCGGCCGAUGGCAGAUUAGCUAGUUGGUGGGGUAAAGGCCUACCAAGGCGACGAUCUGUAGCUGGUCUGAGAGGACGACCAGCCACACUGGGACUGAGACACGGCCCAGACUCCUACGGGAGGCAGCAGUGGGGAAUUUUGGACAAUGGGCGAAAGCCUGAUCCAGCAAUGCCGCGUGUGUGAUGAAGGCCUUCGGGUUGUAAAGCACUUUUGGCGGGAACGAAAAGGACUGUGCCAAUACCACGGUUCGAUGACGGUACCCGCAGAAUAAGCACCGGCUAACUACGUG
rnacentral:rRNA from 1 species